GGAAAAUGCCAUAUGAAGACGCAAAGACACAUAGACACAGAGGGAAGACAGCCGUGUGAUGAUGCAUACACAUUGGAGUUAUGCUGCCACAAGCCAAGGAAUGCCUGGGGGUAUAAGAGGAAACAAACUCUUCCUUCCUGUCCUCUGCCUGUAGCAGAAAAUAGACAAGCCAAGCAGAUGUCCAGAGAUGGCGGAGGAGUACCUCGGCUGCAGCUUCCUUGAGAGAAAACAAACUCAAGGGAGCCUUGGGGGCUGGGGGUGAGAGUGCCGGGGCGGAGCUGGGGGGAGAAGGAAGGUGGCACAGUAUUGUAAUCAGGUUCCCUACUCACUCAAGCUGAGUGCCCGUUGCCUUCUUUCUUUCCCUCCCUCUCCCUUUGUCUCUUUUGAACUUACUGUGAAACAAGUGAACUAUAUAUGGCCAGGGAAAUCUCCAGCAGUCCCAGUAUUUUUAAACUCUUGUAGUCUCCUGUUUGCACACUCAUGUGACGUAGAGGAACUAGAUCCAGAGAGUUUCUCAUGGGAAUCCGGGAUGCUUCGGCAUAACUGCUGGCUUUGGUUGCAUGUGUUUUUGCCCCUUGUUAAAGCAGUCCUUGGGGUUUCAUUUCACAUCCAAAAGACCUGGGAAGCAGCAGAUUCUGUGAGUGCACUAAGAAUGUACCGGGGAGGCUGUGUUCAGGGUGCCUGUCCAGGAUCGUCAUCGAGGGCCUAAGAAACUUUCAGCCUGUGUAGCUGGCCUGGCUCAGACUGGAGGGUGAACUGCUGGGCAUCUUAAUGCAAACUGGAGGGCAUUAGCAAGGAAGAAUUAUUCUCAGAACAUUCCGCGAGCCCUUCACUGAUGAAUUCCUCAUCGUUGUUGGGUUUUGUUUUGUUCUGUUUUGCUGUUCUUGUGCAUUAUCCAAUUUUACUCAAGCUAUUUUAUUAAUAUGUGCCCCAAUCCCCGCCUUCAGCGUGUGUUUCCAGUGACUGUUUAUUUCUCUUUCAGUUCCUCUUGCAGACGUCCUUUUCACCACUGAAAACAUGUUUCAAAAUGUCCUUGAAUCGAAAAUAUUUUAUUUUAUAAGAAAUAUAUUUUCAAGCAGUUUAUUCACGAGAGUGAUAUAUUUGAGGAUUAAACGAAAAUAGGGGAACAACUCACAUAGUUACUGAGUGGAAAAAAUUACCUUUAAAACAGGAUGGAAAAUGAAAUAGUGACUGUGGGUGUAGUUUCUUGUAGGAACACUAAGUGUAGUUAGCUGUCUAGGUCAUGCACCACAUAACUCUCGGUGCCACCACUCAUAAUAUAGAUUUAAUUUAAUAUGAUGAUUUCCUGUCAUAUAUUAGUGAAAUGUCUUGAAGGAAGGGUCCCUUUUGUACAAAGGGGCCAUAUGGAUUAUUAGUAAUCACUCUUUUUGAGGAUAGGAAUGAAUCUUACCCGCUUUUUUUUUCCUGUUGCAAUUUACCUGUUAUAAUCACUACUAUUUACAGAGAGCUAACUUUCUAUCAGACACUAGUAUUAACAAUGUUAUGCUGGUAAUAGAGUUGGGAAAAAAAAAAGAGGCCCUGACUUGCAGUGCUUGCCAAUUUCCAUAGUGUAAAUAUUCCCACCAUAGCCAUGUUCAGGCUACCAAAGUUCUUGAAAGCUAAGUGUAGUGUUGAGUAGGGAUGAUCACAAUUGGCUUUCCUGAGCCAGUAUGAGUUGGCUGCAACAAAACUACUGGUUCUAUAAUAAGUAUUAACAGGCAUUAAUUGCUUUAAAUAUUAACAAGUUUUAUUUGCUCUAUAAAAUGAUAUUAUUAUUAUUCACCAUCAUACAGAUAUGGAAACUGAGGCAAUGAAAAGUUAUGUUACUUUGCAUAAGGUGACAGAACCAGUAAGCAGUGGAGCCAAGCUUUCAGCCCAGGCUGCCUAACUCCAGAGCCCAUGCACAUAAUCCCUAGACCAUGCUGGAAGCAAUAGUGCAGGUGUCAGCAAAUGAUUUCUACAUGAGGGCAUCUUGAUGUCAAGAAGUGUAGUAACUGCUUUAAGUAUUGUAUCAGUUAGGGUUCCACCAGAGAAACAGAACUAGUAAUCAAUAUACAUAGCUAAUAUGAAUAUAUAAUAAAUUCAUAUUAUAUAUUUUUAAUAACAUAUAUAUUUAGAAAUAAUGUAAAUAUAUAUGGAUAUAUGUUGAUUUAUUGCAAGGAACUGGCUUACGUGAUUGUGGCAGCUGGCUACAAAAGUCUGAAAUCUGUACAGCAGGCCCUCAGGAAGGGCCGACAGAAACUCUCGAGCAGGGGCUGACACUGCCGUCCACAAGUAGAAUCUCUUCCUCAAGGAAGCCUAAGUUCUGUUCUUAAAGCUUUUCAAUUACUUGAAUCAGGCCAACACAGAUUAUCCAGGACAAUCUUUCUUACACAAACCAAACUAUUAUAGACUUUAACAACACCUACCUUCACAGCAACAUCUAUAUUAGUGUUUGAUUGAAUAACUGGAGCCUAUAGCCUGAAUAAGUUGACUCAUAAAGUGUUGAGUUGAAUUGCAUUGCCCAAAAAUUUAUGUUGAAAUCUUAAUCUCUGGUAUCUGUGAAUGUGACUUUAAUUGGAAAUAGGGUCUUUGCAGAUGAAAUGAAGGUAAGGUGAGGUCAUACUAGAGUAGGGUGAGACCUGAAUUGAGUGUGACUGGUAUCCUUAUGAGAAGAAAAGGGAAAUGUAGACACAGACAUACAGGUAGAAUGCUGUGGAAAUGGAGGCAGAGAUUGGAGUGAUGCAUCUCCAAGCCAAGAAACGACAAGAAUUGGUGGAAGCCACCAGAAGGCAUGUAGAGGCAAGGAAGCCUCCUUCCCUAGAGCCUUCAGAGGGAGCAAGGGCCUGCCAACACCUUGAUUUGGGGCUUCUUGCAUCCAGAACUGUGAAACAAUAAAUUUCUGUUGGUUUAAGCUACCCAGUUUGUGAUCCUUUGUCAUGGCAGUCCUAGGAAUUAAUACUACAGGGAUCUUAAAAAUAACACUGUGAUAAUAAAUAAUGUCUACUUCACCAACAUCUAGGACAUGACUUUUACUAAAAACAAAGACUAUGCUUACCACAAUUUUCUUGUGACACUCUCAGUAGUGGCAUGUUGGUGGGCCCUUUCAAGUCAGAGGUGUAUCUAUAAACUAAUUGCUUUUAUUUGAUUCAACACAUGCAGGAACGUAUACACAUCCUUACUGAAAUAGUCACUGGAAGAAAUAAUUGACUUAAAGCAGUGGGGUUGCUAUUAUAAAAUCAACUUUAGUAGCGCAUUGAAAUAAAUAUGUACGAAUAAAUGAGCGAGGAAUAAAUGUGUUCAUUGCUUC
rnacentral:lncRNA from 1 species